rnacentral:rRNA from 1 species
AAGCGAGAUCGAGAGAUGGAGCAAAUCCCAAAAAUAACGUCCCAGUUCGGACUGUAGUCUGCAACCCGACUACACGAAGCUGGAAUCGCUAGUAAUCGCGGAUCAGAAUGCCGCGGUGAAUACGUUCCCGGGUCAUGUACACACCGCCCGUCACACCAUGGGAGUCAGUAACGCCCGAAGUCAGUGACCUAACCGAAAGGGAGGAGCUGCCGAAGGCGGGACGGAUGACUGGGGUGAAGUCGUAACAAGGUAUC